AAAAGUCCGAGCUGUCACGGAGCAAAAACGGGAGCUGGAAGCAUGUAAAUAUAAUAAUAACCACUGCAGCCAAGAAGAGUGCCUGAGGAGCCCAUUUGCAAGUUUGCUUUCUCUGUUGGUUUGAUCGAUCAGGUUGGACAGUUCAAGCUGGAGACAUCACUGAAAUUCAACAUUUGCAGUACUUACAAUGUAACUUCAGGUGCAUUUCACCCAACAAAUGAAUCCAAAUGGAUCUGAACACACUUAACCUUCGCAAUGCUUAAUAAAAUACAAAACCCUCUUUUCUUAUCUUUUUAUUCAGGCAGGUUCGUCGCACCAGCCAGAGGUCUACUACUUCAGAUUCACUGCCUUUGAUCACUGAAUUGGAAAACUCUGGUCUUCACCUUUACUGCAAUAACCAGAAAAUCAUUUCUAACUGGGAAAACAAGAAUAAUGAAGGCCAUUUGUACCUGUCAGAUGCAUUAACUCUUCAAAUAAAUGAGGGGGAGUUAGUGUACACGCACCUUCCCUCUGGGCACAGCCUUUAUGAUGAUCAAAAUAUUCCCAACACAUUAAGUGGUCUCUUAUAUUUCAGUCUUAAACGCCUCCCACGUGGCGGUCACGUUGUGCUGCCCAUUUAUGGUGACCCACGACAUAACUAAAUAUUUAAUGAUCAGCAAUUGGUGCUCCUGUCAUCCAAUGUUGUGCAUUAUAACAUAGACAAUUUUCUCUGCUAAAUUACCUGCGAUUAGCCUUCAGUGCGAGUUUUAUGAACUACAGGUUAAGGACAUAUGUUUACUCCGGCAACAUAGGCGAUUGCUUUGUUUUGAUGAGUUCAGCCUUUAAUUGCUUGUCUAGAGUCAUCUCAAGAUGAAAAACUCCACUGAAGCUGCACUUGAUCAAAGCUGCGCUAAAGUGAGGUCUGCAGCGAGUGAGUAAGAGAACAAAUAGCGAUUUCAAAUUCUGUAUGAAGUUUAUCCGCUAUGAUGCUCACUGGUAAAAAAUACUAGAAAUAAGACAGCUUUUGUGGCAGAGAUGUAUGGGAGUAAAGGGUAACACACGCAUUGGAUCAUCCACACAUGGAAAUAAAGUUUAGUUUAACAACGUAUCUGCAUUUGAAACAAAGAGAGCCCAGGUCUAGUUCUGUGAGGCUUUGAACUAAAUGCUGAUGUCAGCAUGCCAGCAUAGAGUACCUAUUACAAUGAGAGUGCUAAAAUGCUGAUGUAAGGUUUAAAUAGUGAACUAUCUGUGCCUUUUUACCUUAGCUGUUCUAUGGCACACUUAAAAAUACAUUUUGUUUUGUUUUUCCCCCCACCCAUUCACACAGACACCAGUGGAGCUCACCUGCUAUCAGGAGCAGCUUGGAGCUCAGCAUGAGCUACGUGAUUUACCAUGUUUGCUAUCAUUAGCAGAUUAGCAUGUUCUGUGUUUACUGUCUUUACAUCAAGCAUGAAAAACAAAGUGAAGCUAACGCUAAGAGGGUCAAAAAGGGCCAUCAGACAAUUUAAAAGUUAAACAAGUAAGAAGUAAAUCGGCGGGACAGUGAUGCCGUUUUUGAGGAGUGGACAUCACUUUUAUUUUUAUUGCGCAAAAGAGAAACUGCUAACACAACUUUGGCUCUUUGCAGCACGCUAGCACUAAGCUUCAGUCCAGCAACCAGAUACUGAACUUCAACAAGUAACAAAAAUAUUGAUGAGCAGUCUGUAGCUUCUCUGUCUGCCUGUUUUAAAGUAGAAUCCCUGCAGGCGAUCGCUAUGAAGUCUUUCUUCGUCUGUUUUUCGUCUUUGCCUUGUGUUGCUGGCUUUGUGUUCAUACGGGGUAAUGUUUUACAGCGCAACAAGAAAGUGAUGUAAUGAGUAGUGUAACAGAUUACUUUCUCUGGCUAAACAUAUUAAAUUACUUCUGAGAAAAGUAAUGUAUAAUCUGUAACACGUUACUUUUACU
ensembl:lncRNA